rnacentral:rRNA from 1 species
UACGUAGGGACCAAGCGUUGUUCGGAUUUACUGGGCGUAAAGGGCGCGUAGGCGGCGUGGUAAGUCACUUGUGAAAUCUCUGAGCUUAACUCAGAACGGUCAAGUGAUACUGCUGUGCUAGAGUGCAGAAGGGGCAAUCGGAAUUCUUGGUGUAGCGGUGAAAUGCGUAGAUAUCAAGAGGAACACCUGAGGUGAAGACGGGUUGCUGGGCUGACACUGACGCUGAGGCACGAAAGCUAGGGGAGCAAACAGG